rnacentral:rRNA from 1 species
AGCAGUCGCCGCGGGAAUACGGAGGGAGCUAGCGUUAUUCGGAAUUACUGGGCGUAAAGCGCACGUAGGCGGCUUUGUAAGUUAGAGGUGAAAGCCUGGAGCUCAACUCCAGAAUUGCCUUUAAGACUGCAUCGCUUGAAUCCAGGAGAGGUGAGUGGAAUUCCGAGUGUAGAGGUGAAAUUCGUAGAUAUUCGGAAGAACACCAGUGGCGAAGGCGGCUCACUGGACUGGUAUUGACGCUGAGGUGCGAAAGCGUGGGGAGCAAACAGGAUUAGAUACCCGAGUAGUCCCUGUCUCUUAUAC